rnacentral:sRNA from 1 species
CACCACUCCGUCUCCAUAAAAAAACAGAGUUACUAUAUUUUUUUUUUUUUUCCCCUUUCCUUCUCAAAUGCAUUUUGACUCUCUCCAGAAAAAAACUCUUAUUUGACCGCGUGUGUUGACCACAUCAUCGUCAUCAUCGUCAUCGCCAUCCCCAUCACCAUAUGGUCAUCAUCAUGACCAUUAACUAGUUAACUAUCAUGAUUAUUUACGGAGUAGACCAAAAAAAAAAAAAAGAGGCAACAAAUAACGGGGUUCCGGAUGACAGGUCUGCGAUCAUGAUGGGUAGUUCACUUUCUACACGAAUUCGUGGACAAAGGAUCCUAGAAGGAGUAGGUAGGAUUAUUUGAACUUCCGACUACGGAGUACAAACAACGCAAAUGGUGAGGCAGAUGGUUUGCUUUUGCUCCUCCCCACCAUCCACGAAAAAUGGUGAAACUAUUUAAGCAAGUUCGAGAUGGGGAAAGUCGGUGAGCACACAGGUUUUUUUUGGUUUUUUUUUUUUUUGGUGUGUUUGGUGCGUUUGGGGGUUGCUUUGGUGGUUAGGUUGGUUCUUGAUGCAAGCAUUCCGACUCGACGGACAAGCAAGGCCUGGCUAGUCUGGGCGCGGUAAGUUCGGUGUUAGUGUGGAGCUUAGGGCGAGGGUUAGGAAGAAAAAGGAAACCAGAAAGAAAGGUGGGAGAAGGGGAAGAGAAGGUGGUGUGGUGGGUGUGUGUUGGUUGUGUGGGGGGAAGAAGAAAGCAAUUUACUACCAUAGUGCAGAGAGUAGCUAACUAACUAAAAAGAUUGUAACUGUAACUCGUUAUUCGCACACACCCUGCCGUCUAAAAUGCACUACUAUCACUUGGGAUGCGGUUGAAUUUCUACAGAUUAGUGGCCGUUGCAACUAUCAAUGAUCGUAUCAAGAAGCAAUCGAUCGCGAGCGAGAGCCCAAGGGACGC